GUGUAUAUGUGUGUGUGCAUGUGUGUAUGUGGCUGUCACUAGUAGGACUCUGUGUGUGAAUAUUUAUACCUACUUUAUAGAUAGAACAAACAAACAAUUUAAUAUAUUUUCUUAAUGAAAAGAGUAGGACAUUUUUUAAAGGGAUGAUUCUAGGAUAUAGAAUGCUGAUUACAUUAAAUAGCAAUUAUUCUGUUCUACAUAUUAUACUAGUAUGUUCAUGUCAAAAUGGUGAUAAUGUUAAAAUGUGGAAAGGCUAUAUACCCCAGGACUAGUCAGCUCUACAUGGCAAUGACUGACAUUUCUGUAUGCAUCCUAUGAGGCUUUUAGUUGUCCCUCUAUUUUAAUACAGUUGUAUUCCCUUGCUUUACAGGUUAAGUCCUUGGCUUUGCUUGAUUCAUAUUUUGUCUUGGAAUCAGUUUCUUUGUGACAUGAAUAAUGAAAACCCAGAGACAGAUGUUGGGGUUCAAGUUGAAGAUCAGACAAGUAAAGCAUCCAGUCAGUAGCUUCUACCAAGGCUGAAAUGGAGAUCCUGUCUUCCUUGUGUCUGGAAACUAAUUAUCAUAUGUGACCCUUUCUUUCUUCCAUAUAUACCUCUCUAUUCCUGAGAAUAAAGGCAUGAGCUCUGUUUCUCUUUUA